UUCAAACAAAUAAAAAAAAAGAUUAGUAUUCAAACAAAUAAAAAAAAUUGUUUCUAUAAACUGUUAAUAUUUUAAUAAAUUUUAAAAAAACUUCAAAUACCACUAUUGUGGUUUUAUACUUCCUCACUUUAAUAUUUUGUGGUUUAAAAUGUGUCACUUUCAUAUCAUGUCGUUUUAUUUUUCUCUUUUCGUUAUUCUUUUUAUUAUUUUUUUUGUUAAAUCAGUGACAAAGUUAAAAUUACAAAAUAUUAAACUAAAUAUUCGAUAAAUCAUAUGUGAUGUAUGUGAAGUUUUUUAUAUAUAAUUUAACGAAUAGUUAACAAAAACGCUGAUAAAAAAAGAAAAAUAAAACUACAAAAUAUUAAAAUAAUACACUUUAAAUUACAAAAUAGUAAAAUAAAAAAAUACUAAAUUAUUGAAAUGAUAUUUAAAAUUUACCCAUAAAUUUAUAUACUAUGCCUCAAAUU
rnacentral:lncRNA from 1 species